rnacentral:rRNA from 1 species
UACGAAGGGGGCUAGCGUUGCUCGGAUUUACUGGGCGUAAAGGGCGCGUAGGCGGCGCAUCAAGUCAGGCGUGAAAAGCCCUGGGCUCAACCCGGGAAUUGCGCUUGAGACUGGUGUGCUCGAGUACGGGAGAGGAUAGUGGAAUUCCCAGUGUAGAGGUGAAAUUCGUAGAUAUUGGGAAGAACACCAGUGGCGAAGGCGGCUAUCUGGACCGUAACUGACGCUGAGGCGCGAAAGCGUGGGGAGCAAACAGG